rnacentral:rRNA from 1 species
AUUGAACGCUGGCGGCAGGCUUAACACAUGCAAGUCGAGCGGGGUGAUGGUGCUUGCACUAUCACUUAGCGGCGGACGGGUGAGUAAUGCUUAGGAAUCUGCCUAUUAGUGGGGGACAACAUCUCGAAAGGGAUGCUAAUACCGCAUACGUCCUACGGGAGAAAGCAGGGGAUCACUUGUGACCUUGCGCUAAUAGAUGAGCCUAAGUCGGAUUAGCUAGUUGGUGGGGUAAAGGCCUACCAAGGCGACGAUCUGUAGCGGGUCUGAGAGGAUGAUCCGCCAGACUGGGACUGAGACACGGCCCAGACGCCUACGGGAGGCAGCAGUGGGGAAUAUUGGACAUGGGGGGAACCCUGAUCCAGCCAUGCCGCGUGUGUGAAGAAGGCCUUAUGGUUGUAAAGCACUUUAAGCGAGGAGGAGGCUCUUUUGGUUAAUACCCAAGAUGAGUGGACGUUACUCGCAGAAUAAGCACCGGCUAACUCUGUGCCAGCAGCCGCCGUAA